rnacentral:rRNA from 1 species
UACGUAGGGGGCAAGCGUUGUCCGGAAUUAUUGGGCGUAAAGCGCGCGCAGGCGGCCUUGUAAGUCUGUUGUUUAAACCCGGGGCUCAACCCCGGGUCGCAAUGGAAACUGCAAAGCUUGAGUACAGAAGAGGAAAGUGGAAUUCCACGUGUAGCGGUGAAAUGCGUAGAGAUGUGGAGGAACACCAGUGGCGAAGGCGGUUCUCUGGGACGGUACUGACGCUGAGACGCGAAAGCGUGGGGAGCGAACAGG